rnacentral:tRNA from 1 species
CCCUGGGUGGUGCAAAUUGUUAAUGUGUUCAGCUGUUAACUGAAAAGUUGGUGGUUUGAGUCCACCCCGAGGCA